GACCGCUCCGAUGGUCUAGUGGUUAGAACAUCCUCCUCAAAUGCGGGAGGUCGUGGAUUCAAUCCCCGGCUGAGUCA